rnacentral:rRNA from 1 species
UACGUAGGGGGGCGAGCGUUGUCCGGAUUUACUGGGCGUAAAGAGCGUGUAGGCGGCCAAACAGGUCCGUUGUGAAAACUGGAGGCUCAACCUCCAGACGUCGACGGAAACCGUAUGGCUAGAGUCCUGGAGAGGGUCGUGGAAUUCCCGGUGUAGCGGUGAAAUGCGUAGAGAUCGGGAGGAACACCAGAGGCGAAGGCGGCGACCUGGACAGGUACUGACACUCAACUACGAAAGCGUGGGGAGCAAACAGG